UCAGUAGCAGGAUGUGUGUGGCUGCCCCGUGCUCUGCCCUCCUUGCUGGAUGUUGUGGACACACAGAGCUGAUGGUACUGAAGGGUUAAAGAGGAAAUGGGAGAGGCUGUGGAUUCCCAGAUAAAAUAUUCGGGGAGUUUGUGCUCUGACAGCUCUGUCCUUGUCUCUGGUACAAAAGGCCUUGAAUCAGCGGAAUGCCUCAGGUGGAGAUCCAGGGGGAUGGAUCUGCUCCCUGCCUCCUGGAUUUUUUCCCUGCUUGCUCUCAGUGUAUGUGCUAAGUGCCCAUAAGCUGCCUCCCUUCAUCUCCUUAGGCACAUGGAAUGGACCACACUGUCCAGAGGUAGGAGAUGAGAAUUCCCCAGGAAAUCAGGAUUCUCUCCUGGGAAAGAUGGAUAAACCCCACGGUGUACCAGCAGGGGCUGGAAUAUUCCCCACAUCCUGCUAGAUCUCUGCUAAUCAGAAAAGAAAAGAGAUCCUCUGCUCAGAAGGGAAUAAAGACAUCCUGAGGGAUAAUCCAGCAGAGCCACGAGCCCUCUGCCACCUCGCAGGAUUUGCAGUUCUGUGGGGAGCUAAACCUCAGGAAAAAGAGCAAUUUUCUUCUUCCUGGAUGGCCUGAAGAGGCCAAUGGAGGGUGAAAAACAGCGUGUGAGGGGAGAAAGGACUGAGCUACGGGCAAAAUUCACCAUAAAAAUCGCAUUUUGGGGAAAGCAGGGGAGCUGGACUGCGGCUGGUGUGUGUUCAGCGUUCUGUGCAUGCCAUCUUCAGGCCGGCUGUGAACUCACAGGCGGAGCAGCAGCGCCUUCAUUUGUUCAUCACAGCGAGUUUUGGGUUAAUCAUGUCCUUAAAAAUCACAUUUGUUACCCGGAGCACAACACAGCGAUACCUGCACGUACCAGAGGGACUUUGAUUAUUUAUUUCAGCCUUGCCAAGCCUGGGUGAACCUCACAGAGCAGGCAGCCCAACCAUCAAAACUUUUUACUGUUUACACAUUUUACCACACAAAGGAAUUAGUGUUCAUUUGCCACCAGUCACACAGUCCACUUGUUAAUUAGUAU